rnacentral:rRNA from 1 species
GAUGAACGCUAGCGGGAGGCUUAAUACAUGCAAGUCGAGGGGUAGAUAGUCUUCGGAUUAUCGAGACCGGCGCACGGGUGCAUAACGCGUACACAACAUGCCUUAUACUGGGGUAUAGCUUCGGGAAACUGAUGGUAAUCCCCCAUGACAUUGCGGAAUCGCAUGGUUCUGCAAUUAAAGUUCAGGCGGUAUAAGAUUGGUGUGCGUUUUGAUUAGGUAGUUGGUAGGGUAACGGCCUACCAAGCCGACGAUCAAUAGCUGGCGUGAGAGCGCGACCAGCCACACUGGAACUGAGACACGGUCCAGACUCCUACGGGAGGCAGCAGUAGGGAAUAUUGGACAAUGGGCGAAAGCCUGAUCCAGCCAUCCCGCGUGGUAGAUGAAGGCCCUCUGGGUUGUAAAUACCUUUUGCAAGGGAAGAAAUCGCAUGGGUUAAUACCCUGUGUGGAUGACGGUACCGGAAUAAGAAGCACCGGCUAACUACGUGCCAGCAGCCGCGGUAAU